UAUGACGGGUAUCCGGCCUGAGAGGGUGAUCGGACACACUGGAACUGAGACACGGUCCAGACUCCUACGGGAGGCAGCAGUAGGGAAUAUUGCUCAAUGGGCGAAAGCCUGAAGCAGCAACGCCGCGUGGAGGAUGAAGGUUUUAGGAUUGUAAACUCCUUUUGUUAGAGAAGAUAAUGACGGUAUCUAACGAAUAAGCACCGGCUAACUCCGUGCCAGCAGCCGCGGUAAUACGGAGGGUGCAAGCGUUACUCGGAAUCACUGGGCGUAAAGAGCACGUAGGCGGCCUUGCAAGUCAGAUGUGAAAUCCAACGGCUUAACCGUUGAACUGCAUUUGAAACUGCAAGGCUAGAGUAUGGGAGAGGUAGGUGGAAU
rnacentral:rRNA from 1 species